rnacentral:sRNA from 1 species
GCUCGAACUACUCCUUCGCCGGGGCGCC